CAGCCGCGGUAAUACGAAGGGUGCAAGCGUUACUCGGAAUUACUGGGCGUAAAGGGCGUGUAGGCGGCCUGGUAAGUCGGGGGUGAAAACUCAGGGCUCAACCCUGAGACUGCCUUCGAUACUGCUGGGCUUGAGUGCUCUAGAGGGUAGUGGAAUUGCCGGUGUAGCAGUGAAAUGCGUAGAGAUCGGCAGGAACACCAGUGGCGAAGGCGACUGCCUGGGGAGUAACUGACGCUGAGGCGCGAAAGCUGGGGGAGCAAAC
rnacentral:rRNA from 1 species